AACUUUGUGCAGUGGCAGUAUCGUAGCUCAAUGAGGUUUAUCCGAGGUGCGAUUAUUGCUAAUUGAAAAAACCUUGUAGAAAAAAAUUGUUUUGCAAGAAGCAUACAUUAUUAAAUAUGACUAUUCUCA
rnacentral:snRNA from 1 species